UACAGAGGUGGCAAGCGUUGUUCGGAAUUACUGGGCGUAAAGGGCGCGUAGGCGGCCAUCUAAGUCAGACGUGAAAUCCCCAGGCUUAACCUGGGAACGGCAUCCGAUACUGGAGGGCUUGAAUUCGGGAGAGGGAUGCAGAAUUCCAGGUGUAGCGGUGAAAUGCGUAGAUAUCUGGAGGAAUACCGGUGGCGAAGGCGGCAUCCUGGACCGAGAUUGACGCUGAGGAGCGAAAGCUAGGGGAGCAAACGGG
rnacentral:rRNA from 1 species